UCUGUUUUUUUCUCAGCACUUUCCUUUCCGUGUGCUUUUUUACAUUAUGGACUUCUCUCUGUCUCUCUCUCCAUACAUGUCUGGUCUGAUGCAUUAUUGCAUUCUCUUUUCCCAUUUCUUUUGUUCUGGUUGUGUGGAGUCUCUCAAUUGAAUCCAUAACUACAACCACCCUCCGAUUUGGUUAAACACUCAAAUCAAUUCAGUUCAGUUCAAUCCAUUUCUAGUGCUUCUUCAUUCUCACAAAUUCAGGAAUCAAUGGCUAUCGGAGAGCUCUUAAUCGCCACUUCAAUCAAGUUUCUAUUUGAGAAGUUCGCCACUUUAGCCUCCGGCGAGCUGUCCAACUUUGCACGCGGCUUCGGCGGAGAGCGCCGAAUUCGUACUCUGUUGACGAAAUGGACCACAACUUUGGAAGAAAUUGAGGCAGUUCUCGUUGAUGCUGAUGAGAAGCAAGUUACCGAAAGAGGUAUUAAGAUUUGGCUUGAAGAUCUUCAGGACUUGGCUUAUGACGUCGAUGACAUACUCGACGAGUUCUCCACCGAAGCUUUGCGACCUAAGUCGAUGAUCACCACCAAGGUACGUGCACUAAUUCCAACCAAGAUUGUCAAAUUAGAUGAGAUCACAACCCGAUUCCAAGAUCUUUUGGAACGUAGAACUGUGCUCGGCUUGCAAAAGGUGGGUAGUAGUAGAAAUGCAGGGACAUCUGCUAAAGCUUGGCAAAGACCACCCACCACAUGUUUGAUGAAUGAACCUAGUGUAUAUGGGAGGGGUGAGGAUAAAAAGAAGAUAAUUAAGUUGCUCUUACUAGGUGUUGAGGAGUCGAGCAAUUGCAAUAUUGGGGUAGUUCCGAUUGUGGGUAUGGGUGGGGUUGGCAAGACCACCCUUGCUCAGAUGGUAUACAAUGAUGACAUGGUCGGGAAGCUCUUUGAAAUAAAAGCAUGGGUUUAUGUCUCUGAAGAUUUCGAUAUUACGCGAGUGACAAAAGCAAUUUUGGAGUCCGUCACUUCCCAGCCUUGCAAUUUUGAUACCUUGGGUCAAGUCCAAGUCCAACUAAAGCAGAUUUUGGAUGGGAAAAAGUUCUUGAUUGUUUUAGAUGAUUUUUGGAACAAAAAACACAGUGAUUGGAGCAUUUUGAAAAGUCCUUUCAAUGAUGGAGCCCAAGGAAGUAAAGUCAUGGUAACAACACGUAACACAGAUGUUGCGUUGAUGUUAGGAACUGUGAAAUAUCAUCACUUGAAGCAAUUAUCAAUGGAUGAUUGUUGGUCAGUGUUUGCACAAAAUGCAUUUGAGAAUACAAUUAUCGAGGCAAGCCCGAAUUUGGUUUCAAUUGGUAGGAAAAUAGUUGAGAAAUGUGGAGGCUUGCCUUUGGCUGCUAGGACACUUGGUGGCCUUUUACGGUGUAAACUAAGAGACGAUGAAUGGGAAGAUGUAUUGAAUAGUAAAAUGUGGGAGUUAUCAGACCAGGAAAGUGACAUUCUUCCGGCUUUGAGGUUAAGCUACCAUCACCUCCCUUCACAUUUGAAGAAGUGUUUUGCAUACUGUUCAAUACUGCCCAAGAAUUUCAUAUAUCGUGAAAAGGCAAUUGUUUUAUUGUGGAUGGCUGAAGGCUUCAUUCAAGAACCCGCAGAAAAAGGAAAGAAGCAAAUGGAAGAUCUCGGGCUCGAGUACUUUCGUGAAUUGUUGUCCAGGUCAUUUUUUCAACCAUCAACUAGUGGUGAAAGCUCAGAAUUUGUGAUGCAUGACCUCAUCAAUGAUCUCGCUCAGUUUGUUGCAGGAAAAAUUUGUUUUAGGUUGGAGGAUAAGUUGAAAGUUAACGAGCAGUACAAAAAUCUCCGUGAGGCUCGCCAUUCAUCUCACAGGCGUGACAAAUAUUGCGGCAUCAAAAAGUUUGAGGCCUUUUAUGAUGCCAAGCAUUUGCGCACCUUUUUACCAUGUGGAGCAUAUUAUGGAGAAGCUUUUUUGACCAGCAAUGUUCUCCAUGAUUUGUUGCCAAAGCUUACACGUUUACGCGUGCUUAGUAUGAGUGGAUAUAAAAUAAGUGAACUGCCAAGAUCAAUCGGACAUUCAAAACAUUUGAGGUAUCUUAAUCUUUCUCAUGCCCUGCUUUGCUCAUUACCCGAAUCACUGUGUACUCUAUACAAUCUACAAACACUCGUAUUAAGAUAUUGCAUACAUAUGAAGAAGUUGCCUUCAGACACAGGAAACCUAAUUAAUUUGCGUCAUCUCAUUGUUACUGGUGCAAAUUCCUUACAAGAAAUGCCACCAAAAAUAGGUCAGUUAACGAGUCUCCAAACAUUAUCAAACUUCAUUGUUAGCAAAGGAAAUGGGUUUACGAUAAGAGAGUUGGGGAACUUAAUUCAUCUUAGAGGGGCACUUUGCAUUUCCGGGUUAGAUAAUGUGGUAGAUGUUGUGGAUGCAAAGGCUGCUAAGUUAAAUGAGAAGCAGGGCUUGGAUGAGUUAUUGAUGGAAUGGGGUAACACUAAUUCAGAAGAUUCACGAAAUGAAAAGGUUGAAUUAGAAGUGCUUGACAUGCUACAACCAGACAAGAAGGUUAAAGUACUUUCCAUCAGUGGUUACUAUGGUCCAAUAUUUCCAACUUGGGUUGGAGAUCCUCUGUUUUCUAAUAUGGUUCACUUAGUGUUGCAAAAUUUUGAAAAAUGCACAUGCUUACCACCUCUGGGGCAAUUACCCUCGCUUGCAAAACUUCAGAUUAGAGGAAUGAAAAGAGUGGAGAAUGUUGGCCUUGAGUUCUAUGGGUGGGGUUGCUCAAACCCUUUUCCAGCUCUAGAGACUUUAUGCUUUUGGGAUAUGCCGGAAUGGGAGGAUUGGUCUCCUUUUGAAGUUGAUGAGGAAAUUCAAGCAUUUGCUCGCCUCUCAGAGCUCUCCAUUCGAAGUUGCCCCAAGCUUUUGGGUAAAUUGCCCAACAGUCUUCCUUGCUUAAGAAAGCUUGAGAUUCAGAAGUGUCCACGGUUGGUGGUUGAAUGGCUUCCGAGCCCUACAAUGCUCCACCAAAAGAGGAAUACCCUCCACUUCAGUUCAGUCUCCUCCUUAUCUCUCAGUGAUAUUUCAAUUUUGGACUCUAUUCCUAAUCGAGAGGUAGGCGAUGAAGUAUUAGCAACUGUUGCAUAUAAACAUUUGAGCUCAGUGACUGAUAUGAGAAUUGAAAAUAUUCAGAAACUCACACGCCUGCCUAAAUGGUUCUUUCAUGGGUUUACGGGACUCGAAGAAUUGAGGAUUCGUAAUUGUGAAAAACUCACAACAUUGUGGCAGAAUGAGGUCAGGCUACAGCACAAACCCCCUGCCCCUGCCUUGCGACAUUUGGAGAUUGAAAACUGCCCCCAACUUAUUUCCUUGUUCGAAGAAGAAGUAGAAGGAAAAGAUGGUCCACAGUUGCAGCGACAGCAGCAGGAGCAAGAGGGGCCGCCUUACUUAAUGGGGCUUAUGUAUCUGGGAAUUGAUAAUUGUAAAAAGCUGGAGAAGCUGCCAGAGGGACUGCAUGCCCUGAAAUGUCUUCAGAAAAUGAAGGUUCAAAAUUGUCCAUCGCUCACAUACUUAUUGUUCAGAGGUGGGCUACCGGCUGCACUUGAAGAACUUGAUAUUGCUCAUCUAUCGAAGCUGGAGUCACUACUAGCAGAGGAGGGUAUGAAAAUUAGUUGUCCAUCUCUUAAAUCGAUUCGAAUUAAUGCUUGUAAGAACCUCAAAUCCUUGACGGAUGCCAUGCAUAGCAGCAACAAUAAUGAAUUAAAAAAUAUCAGCCUAGUGGACAUAAGAGGUUGUGAAGACAUGGGGUCCCUUCCGGAAGGUUGGUUCCGGGUCGCCACAUCGAAUCUGAGAGACUUGCUUAUCUACGACUGCAAAAAGCUCAAGGCCCUACCAUACGACCUCAGUUCUCUUCAAGAGCUGAAAGUAUGGAAAUGCCCUGCAGGAAUUGUGUCCAACUGGAGUUCUCUCACGAACCUCCGUUCACUUGUCAUCGACACGAUCAUGAUCAGUAAACCCCUAUCAGAGUGGGGUUUGCACAGAUUAUCCUCUCUUAGAAAACUCCUUCUUAACGGUUUAAAAGAUUACCGUUGGGAGUCCAUUUCAGAAGAUGGAAUGUUAUUGCCCACCUCUCUGACCGGCCUGUCCUUGCAGUAUUUUCCAAAUCUAGAGAAGCUAUCUUUCAAGGACUUUCAAGACCUCACCUCUCUUGAAAUACUUUACAUCUAUGAUUGCCGUAAGCUCACUUCUUUGCCAAAGGAAGGGCUGCCUCCCUCGCUUUUGCAUCUCUUGAUCCAGGAUUGCCCUAAAUUUGCAUCGUUUCCGGAGCAAGGGCUGCCUCCCUCGCUUUUGGGAUUGAUGAUCGAAGGAUGUCCGAUACUAAAACAACGGUGUCGAAAGGGGAAAGGCCGAUAUUGGCGCUUCAUUUCUCACAUUCCUCGUGUCGACAUAGAUGAUAAAUUCAUCUUUGACCCAAGCUGCUGCUAAAAAACAAGUCAGAGUUGCCCUCUUGUGGUUGUAAAAUGUAGAAAUUAAAAGAGAAACAGUGAAGGGCCACUUCUUCCCUCCAUGACUGCGACCUCUGUCAACAUUUUCGGGACAUCAUCUUGCAAAUUCCACUGUAAAAGAUUUGAGGCACAUAUAUAGGGAGAUUUGUGAGAGUGGAGGUGAAUGACAUCGGUUUAUUGGUGGAGAUUGGCAGCGAUGUAGUGGAGAUCUAGAGAUGUGCAGAUCCAGACAAAUAGAAGUAGAGAUUGAGAGGGAACAUAGCUUUUCAAACAUACUCAUUGUCGAUUUUGGUGAAGAAGAUGACAAGACAAAAGGUUUCAUAAAUUGGACAUGUGAUUUCAAACUUCGAAUUUACAUCAAUGCAAAAUUACAUGUUGAAUAUGCGAAUUUAUUAUCAAUGUUGUCAUUGUAAUUGUAAUGGUUGAACCAUUGGCUGAGGUA